CCCUUUUCUCCUAAGCAAGGUCUGGAAGCCAAGAUCAGCCCUUUAGGAUCAUUGUUGGGGUGCAAUAAGCUGGGAAGCCUUGUUUUCCUGCCUCAGACAUUU